rnacentral:rRNA from 1 species
GACGAACGCUGGCGGCGUGCUUGACACAUGCAAGUCGAACGGUGAAGCGCCUUCCUUUUUGGUGGGUGUGGAUGAGUGGCGAACGGGUGAGUAACACGUGAGUAACCUGCCCCCUUCUUCUGGAUAACCGCAUGAAAGUGUGGCUAAUACGGGAUAUUCUGGGUCUGUCGCAUGAUGGGUCUGGGAAAGAUAUUGUUUCGGUGGGGGAUGGGCUCGCGGCCUAUCAGCUUGUUGGUGGGGUGAUGGCCUACCAAGGCGGUGACGGGUAGCCGGCCUGAGAGGGUGGACGGGCACACUGGGACUGAGACACGGCCCAGACUCCUACGGGAGGCAGCAGUGGGGAAUAUUGCACAAUGGGCGCAAGCCUGAUGCAGCGACGCCGCGUGAGGGAUGGAGGCCUUCGGGUUGUGAACCUCUUUCGCCAGUGAAGCAGGCCUGCCUCGUUUGUGGGUGGGUUGACGGUAGCUGGAUAAGAAGCGCCGGCUAACUACGU